GACAGUCACAGAGCACACGGUCUGGUCAUCUGAGGACCUGCACAUGCUGACUGAGAGAGCGAUCUGUCCCUGACUCACACUGGAUUGGAUAGCGACAGAACAUUUGUUACACAUUUAAUGCUCCUUUUGUAAUAUUCCAAUAAAACGCAGGGUGCUGAAGCUCCCAUAAUCCUAAUAGCAUUAAAAUGGUCAAUUUACUAUAACUGAUGCAAAAAUUCAUUACAGGAUAUUUGAAAGGAGACAGAUCUGGAGCAGGCUUAGCUAAAAAACUCCAACAGAAAGAAGAGUUCUGAAAAGAGCAGCAUCAACAUUCUGCUGCACUUCUCCUUUUGUGAUCUAUAGAAAAGAAGGAAGUUUGAAAGUCCAUCCAUCUGGCUCCAUUCUGGGUCCAUUCCACCAAAACUAUGAAGUUCAUAAAGAAACACAACUCUAUAGCUGAUUGUAAAACAAAUCAGUAUCCAUAAAAGAAGAUCCAAAUAUUUCUUCUUUUGUGUUGAAGAUGAACAAAAGUUUUAACUUACUGGUUUGGAGCAGCAUGAGGGUGCGCAACUGAUGAGUGAAUUUUCAUUUUUGGGUGAACUCUCCCUUUAAGAGGAAACUAUGUUUCCCAUCGCCCCAGGCUUACAGAUGGAGACUUUGCUCCUGAGAUUCCCUCAUUAAGUUAUUAACUGGGUCGGGCUGUAUUCCUUUCUCAAGGUAUAAUGCCAGAAGUAACAAAGCAGCACGGAAGUGAUCAAAGUGGAUCUUAAAAUCGAAGAGACAAGAUAUUUUUGAUUCAUGAUCAUAACGUUAAACCGUCAGAAAACGAUCCUGUGUCUCGACCUGUUCAGUGAACACUGGGGUCACGCUGGACUUGAGUGAUUGAGCUUUGAACUAAAACAGACGCAGCACACAUGGAAAAUGCACAUCAUUAGCACUGGAGGGCAUGUAAUUGCUGCGUUCAUCAAAAGCUUGUGAUCUUACGCAUCCAGCAUUCUCUUCCACGUCACUGAACUGCUGAGAUCCGGAGGCAAAUUAGCCGAAGUUAUUGAUUUCUCUCAGACCAAUUAACCCAGACUCCCCAGAACUGCCACAGAUCCGCACGGAUGGAGAGGAUUCAUUCACCGCCAUCUCUCUUUGGUUAUUCACACACAGUCUCCAACAUGGUAUUGAUUCGACGCUAAUCAAGAACUUCUAUAGCUUUCAGGAGAACGACACCAGAGCAAUGAAUUCUUCAUAAAGAGACAUUGAUUUUAUGACAAAGCAAUCUUAUUUUUCCUCCUGCUUUGAAAGCAUUAGCGGUAUUAACGUUAUCCUCCAAAGGAACCCAAGUAAUUAGCUUGAGAGUCUGUGAGAACCUUCUCUCUUGACUCUAACCUGCCCAAACAAAGAGAUGCUGUUCAAAAGUGUUUGUUUUUAUAAUGAAUUCAAUUCACCAAGAAUGCAUUCAAUUGAUUCAAAGUGAAAGGUUAAUCCAUCACUCUCAGGGAGGUUAAUGAAAGAUGGCACAUCAUGGGAGAUGGCCGUCAUCAUGUGGAUGGCUGAUCAGGGUAGCAAGGACACUGCAGGCUGGGAUAUUUUUGAAGGCAGGCCACAUCCUCGCUGACUCAUCAUUUUCCCAGUGAAUCCUAAGACAUAGGGACCUUUUAUGCUGUGAGGCCAUCUGCUUGGCCAUGUAGCCGAAAAAAAGAGUGGGUGCAGACACCCACCAGAGUGACCUUACGGAGCAACAUGGCCAGAUGGAUCUCAAGGGAGGCACACCGACACCGGUGCACCUAAGAUUAGUCGGCAUCAGAUUGCCGUGGAUGUUCAUAUGACAGUUUGUGUGGUAAUAUUUGCAGAGGCAUGUCAUUGCCUGCUCUCAGAUUUGACCUUCGUGUCUUUCACUCCUAAGAUCAAAACAAAUCACUUUCUUUAGUUUCAGCUGUGAUGCCACCAGCUUUUGUCCCAUUGAUGGUUAAACAACUUGUUUUUAACCUCUUGAUCUCCUCAGGGCUCAGAACAUCUCUCUCCGUAUAUUUUAUAAGCUGGUUAUUAUGGUUAAAAAUUAUUUUAAAACAUAUUUAAGAAUAUUUGCACACAUAGACCUUGGGUGUUCAAGAGCAUUUGUUUUUCCACAUAAGAUUUUAAAUGACCAGGGUUCAGCAUGAAUAAAUGAAUGAAUAAAAUUACUAUAAAUAAAUAAAUAAAUAACACAUAUAUACUGUAAAAACAAGAAAUCUGUCCUUAUUUUUAUCUGUUUUAACACUGGAAAGAUAUGCAGAAUGCAUGCAGGAUUUCAUAAAUAAGCAUAGUCAUAAACAGACAAACAAAGUAGCAUACAUUAGCAUACAUAAAGUACACACUGCCAAACAAGUAUAAAGACAUUCAAAAACAAAAGGCCAUGUUAUCAUUAUACUUAAACACAUCAGAUGAGGCACUGCAAGCAUUUUCAUCAGGGUCCUCAAGUAAACUGCUGUAUCAGAUGGUAACAACAUGGUAAAAGAUCAAAAGUGUCCAAAAUUGAAAACAUGAUGCCAUUUUUGUGUUCUGUUUUUGUUUCGAUGCUCUUUUGGUUGUUAACUGCAGUACAGAGUAGUUCACAAGCGUGCAAGUGUCGAGUUUAAGAUACUUUCUUUAUCGCUGGCAAACGAUAAAACUUAUGUUGAUUCAGUUGAAGCACAUAUUCAGUUCAGCACUCGUUUUGUUCCCUGCGUUCUUGAAGCAUAGUAAAUGUUUCUAAUGAUUCAGAAUCGUGAACUGAUCGUCGACUCAGACAAGUGAUUCAUUCACAAAUGUAAACUGUCCACAGAAAAUAGUCUACAUUGAUUACUGAAAUACUGUGAGGAGAGACUGAUUAUCAGGUUGAUACUCUCCUUUAUUUGUAAGAAUUUUAAAUCACUUUGGCAUAGUAAAUAAAUCCCCAUCCUUCCUACACUUUUCUAAUGCCCUCAUAAGUGAUUCAAUUGCUGCAGUGUACUUGAAAGACACAAAAACACCACUUGAAAUUCGCGUAAUGGCCUCUGAAGAGGUUAAGAUGGAUCUGUUGAAAUACUCUACAACAGAUGGAUCCAUUAUCCUCCAGAUUCUGGAGCUCAGGAUCUUUCUUACUGCUCUAUCACUUAUCUUCUGCUUAAAGAUGUUUGUUCACCAGCUGUUUUAAAUUUUUAAAGGCAUUAUCUGAAUUUCAGCCAAACACAUUAAAUGUUGGAGUCAUGCAUUAUGAUUCAUGUAUACAAUCGGCAAUGCAGUAAAAAAAAUUUUGUUACUGGCACCUGAAUCAUUCAUAAUUAGACUUUAAAGUGGGAGCAUGUACCACAGUAUUUAAGUUUACAGAUUUGCUUUUCUGUUCCUCUUUUUCAAUAGUCAGUGGAAAUCAUUGACUGAGUAGCUUCUCACCAACAGUUCUUGUUUUAUUAGCAUAUUUCUUUCAGGGCCUGUCAGCAUCCAGGCCCCUUGCUGUCUGUUUGUGUCUCUCUUGGCCAGGCAGCUUAUGGUGUCUCCAUCUACAAGCGGUUGAUUAAUCAUGGUGGUUUAGCAUUUCAAUAUCUCCUGCUGAGAAAGCAGAAAAGUUGUGAGGAAAAGAGGAGACGACAGUGUUUCCAUGCUGGAUUGCUUAGCAUGCUUCAUUGCAGCUCUGCAGAGGCAUGUCAGAUUUCAAACAGGUUUGGAAAAGUCAGAUUUCCAGACUUCAGUUCCCUCCUCUGUACCAAUGCAUCCAUAUAAAAGUUUCAGUAUAAAAGUCAUCUCCAUCGUUAUAUGAUCUGUUCCUGUGAGCAAGCAAGACAUUGACAAGAUUGGAACUUGAUGAGAUUUAAAGUUUUAAUUUAAGAGAAUAUUUACAUUAACAAGAAGUAAGAGUUUACAACUAGAUUUGCAUUUCCUUGAGGAAAGGAAGGAUAUUUCAUGACACUCAUUAUGUUUCUCUGUUGCUGUGUAUGAGAAUCAAAUAACACAGCAUCAUUUUC